ACCACAUCUUCACACAGCAUCACUCUCUCUGACCUGCAAGGUGGUACUCAGUACUCUGUCACUGUCUGCACUGUGCUGGAAAAUGGAAAGGAAAGUCAGCUGGUGUCAACAACCCUCACCACAGUACAUUUUCAGUGGUGGAAGAGACCCUCCAGAGUUGCUGCAGUGUGUGUUCUACUGGCUGUGAUCAUAAGCCUGUGGGAUUCCUAUGCCACUGCAGAGCGAGACCAGCUACAGAAUAUUCUAAA